AGAGAGAGAGAGAGAGAGAGAGAGAUCAUUCAUUGCCCUUCCCGAAUCGUAUCGUUCUCCUCCGUAUCAGAAAAACCGGCGAGAAUUUCGGAAAUAAGGUUUGUAUCAUGGAGAAUUUGAGGCAACAACAACUCAAUUUGGUUCAAGGCAUGGUUCAACGCGGAACAGCUCAAUCGCAUCAUUGAUGUGAUGGAGACUGUUGGUAUAUAUGCCCACAUCAUCAUCGAUCUGCAGCACCAGCCACCACCACAACCACAACCACAACCACUGCCGGGAAAUCAGAAUGUGGAUGAUGAGGCUGAGUCUGGCAUCACCCGCGAAUAAUUGAUAUCUUAAUCUUAACUUCCGUCGAGGAUUCAUAUUAAUGCAUGCCAUACAUCUUUUGUAUUGGAGGUUAUUUGUUAUCUUACUGUUUAGGAUUCAUAUUAUAAUGCCUUAUCUGGUUGAUCUCUUUCCUGAAAGCUAGCUACUGUAUUUUUCUCUUUUUUUAUUUGGGAAUUGGAUCCCUUGUUUCUAAAGAGGAAGAAAAAAAACAAUACUGUUUUUAACGCAUUCACUUGGGUAUACCA